AUGAGUAGUCGAAUACACAUUGAGGGGGCCUUGCCUCCUCCUUCCCGCCCACACCUUCAUUCUUUUCCUCCUCUGAUCUUAGAAAGCAUACAAAACUACACUCUACUUUGAGUCCUUCUAGAAGUAAAUAAAGGAAAUGCUUAUUCAACUACGGCACUGUCGGACAACCGACCGGAUUCAAGCCCUAGCCCCUCAACUCGUAUGGACUUGUGGAAAUCCUCGAAAAUAAGUAUUGCUCAACUCACCUAUCUAUAA
rnacentral:rRNA from 1 species